rnacentral:rRNA from 1 species
CCAAUAGCGUAUAUUAAAGUUGUUGCAGUUAAAAAGCUCGUAGUUGAAUUUCGGGAUCAAUUAAUUGGUCGUGCCUCUGGUACGUACUGAUUUUAUUGGUUUCUCCCUUCUGACGAACCAUGAUGUCAUUAAUUUGAUGUCGUGGAGAAUCAGGACUGUUACUUUGAAAAAAUUAGAGUGUUUAAAGCAAGCUAACGCUUGAAUACAUUAGCAUGGAAUAAUGAAAUAGGACGUUUGAUCCUAUUUUGUUGGUUUCUAGGAUCGACGUAAUGAUUAAUAG